CAGCAGCCGCGGUAAUACGAAGGUCCCGAGCGUUACCCGGAUUUACUGGGCGUAAAGGGCGUGUAGGCGGCCUGGGGCGUCCCAUGUGAAAGGCCACGGCUCAACCGUGGAGGAGCGUGGGAUACGCUCAGGCUAGAGGGUGGGAGAGGGUGGUGGAAUUCCCGGAGUAGCGGUGAAAUGCGCAGAUACCGGGAGGAACGCCGAUGGCGAAGGCAGCCACCUGGUCCACUUCUGACGCUGAGGCGCGAAAGCGUGGGGAGCAAACCGGAUUAGAUACCCCAGUAGUCCCUGUCUCUUAUAC
rnacentral:rRNA from 1 species